rnacentral:misc_RNA from 1 species
AACGCACAUUGCGCCCCUUGGUAUUCCGAGGGGCAUGCCUGUUCGAGCGUCAUUUUGACCACUCCCGCUUGCGGGGUCUUGGGCCCUUCGCCUCUGGGCGGGCCUUAAAAUCAGUGGCGGUGCCGUCCGGCUCUAAGCGUAGUAAAUCUCCUCGCUAUAGGGUUCCGGAGGGAUGCUGGCCAACAACCCCCAACUUUUAAGGUUGACCUCGGAUCAGGUAGGGAUACCCGCUGAACUUAA